rnacentral:rRNA from 1 species
AGGGGUGCUAGCUUGCUAGAACCUACACACAGGUGCUGCAUGGCCGUCGUCAGCUCGUGCCGUGAGGUGUUGGGUUAAGUCCCGCAACGAGCGCAACCCCCGCCGUUAGUUGCCAGCGGUUCGGCCGGGCACUCUAACGGGACUGCCCGCGAAAGCGGGAGGAAGGAGGGGACGACGUCUGGUCAGCAUGGCCCUUACGGCCUGGGCGACACACGUGCUACAAUGCCCACUACAAAGCGAUGCCACCCGGCAACGGGGAGCUAAUCGCAAAAAGGUGGGCCCAGUUCGGAUUGGGGUCUGCAACCCGACCCCAUGAAGCCGGAAUCGCUAGUAAUCGCAGAUCAGCAUGCUGCGGUGAAUACGUUCCCGGGUCUU